AAUAGAUACCCCGGUAGUCCACGCCGUAAACGAUGAGUGCUAAGUGUUAGAGGGUUUCCGCCCUUUAGUGCUGCAGCUAACGCAUUAAGCACUCCGCCUGGGGAGUACGGCCGCAAGGCUGAAACUCAAAGGAAUUGACGGGGGGCCCGCACAAGCGGUGGAGCAUGUGGUUUAAUUCGAAGCAACGCGAAGAACCUUACCAGGUCUUGACAUCCUCUGCCAACCCUAGAGAUAGGGCGUUCCCCUUCGGGGGACGAGAGUGACAGGUGGUGCAUGGUUGUCGUCAGCUCGUGUCGUGAGAUGUUGGGUUAAGUCCCGCAACGAGCGCAACCCUUGAUCUUAGUUGCCAGCAUUCAGUUGGGCACUCUAAGGUGACUGCCGGUGACAAACCGGAGGAAGGUGGGGAUGACGUCAAAUCAUCAUGCCCCUUAUGACCUGGGCUACACACGUGCUACAAUGGAUGGUACAAAGAGUUGCGAACCCGCGAGGGUAAGCCAAUCUCAUAAAGCCAUUCUCAGUUCGGAUUGUAGGCUG
rnacentral:rRNA from 1 species